rnacentral:rRNA from 1 species
AUGGAGUGUAACCCAAAAACUAUUUUCUGGAACGUGAGUGGUCUUAACUCCGGUGCCAAACGUGCAGCCGUUCGCAGCGUGAUCUCCGCUGCACCGAGCAUUGUCUGUCUCCAAGAGACCAAACUUGCCCGUGUCUCGGACUCCAUUGUGUUGGACACGCUCGCCCCCUUUUCGAGGACUACUUCUUCCUUCCAGCAAAUGGCACCCAGGGCGGCAUCCUACUAG